rnacentral:lncRNA from 1 species
AUUGUCGAAGCCAAUCGUGAAAAGGAAUGUGGAGUCUUUGAUACCAAAAAGGAACAAUGGAUCUCAACCUCUGAUCCAAACAGAGUACCCUUUCUUUUUUCAACCCAAAUCUGCGACAAAAGUAAAAAUAUCUUUUACAAACUUAUUUUUUGGAUUUUUUGCGAUACUCCACCUUAAAUUUGGUCUACAAAACAAGUCAAAGGAAUUGUCGAAGCCAAUCGUGAAAAGGAAUGUGGAGUCUUUGAUACCAAAAAGGAACAAUGGAUCUCAACCUCUAAUUCCCCCAAACGAUUAACCCCUCACCUCCUCUUUCAUUCCUAUCAAUCAUGGAACUUCCCCAAUUCCUCGAAACUGUCUCCACACUAUUAACUGCAACUACUUGACAUGUCUUCUCAGCCACCACCACAGCAACCGCAUCAGCAUCACCUCCACA